rnacentral:tRNA from 1 species
GUGCGCAUAAUUUAAAAAAAUAUUAGAUUGUGGUUCUAAAAAUGAAAGUUAAACCUCUUUCUGUGCACC